rnacentral:rRNA from 1 species
AUUGAACGCUGGCGGCAUGCCUUACACAUGCAAGUCGAACGGUAACAGGUCUUCGGAUGCUGACGAGUGGCGAACGGGUGAGUAAUACAUCGGAACGUGCCCGAGAGUGGGGGAUAACGAAGCGAAAGCUUUGCUAAUACCGCAUACGAUCUCAGGAUGAAAGCAGGGGACCGCAAGGCCUUGCGCUCACGGAGCGGCCGAUGGCAGAUUAGGUAGUUGGUGGGAUAAAAGCUUACCAAGCCGACGAUCUGUAGCUGGUCUGAGAGGACGACCAGCCACACUGGGACUGAGACACGGCCCAGACUCCUACGGGAGGCAGCAGUGGGGAAUUUUGGACAAUGGGCGCAAGCCUGAUCCAGCCAUGCCGCGUGCAGGAUGAAGGCCUUCGGGUUGUAAACUGCUUUUGUACGGAACGAAAAGACUCUGGUUAAUACCUGGGGUCCAUGACGGUACCGUAAGAAUAAGCACCGGCUAACUACGUGCCAGCAGCCGCGGUAA